rnacentral:rRNA from 1 species
UUGUCCUGUGACUGCGUACCUUUUGUAUAAUGGGUCAGCGACUUAUAUUCAGUGGCAAGGUUAACCAUCUAGGGGAGCCGUAGGGAAACCGAGUCUUAACUGGGCGUUCAGUCUCUGGAUAUAGACCCGAAACCAGGUGAUCUAGCCAUGGGCAGGUUGAAGGUUGAGUAACAUCAACUGGAGGACCGAACCGACUAAUGUUGAAAAAUUAGCGGAUGACUUGUGGCUAGGGGUGAAAGGCCAAUCAAACCUGGAGAUAGCUGGUUCUCCCCGAAAGCUAUUUAGGUAGCGCCUCGGACGAAUACUACUGGGGGUAGAGCACUGUUAAGGCUAGGGGGUCAUCCCGACUUACCAACCCUUUGCAAACUCCGAAUACCAGUAAGUACUAUCCGGGAGACACACGGCGGGUGCUAACGUCCGUCGUGGAGAGGGAAACAACCCAGACCGCCAGCUAAGGUCCCAAAUUACUACUAAGUGGGAAACGAUGUGGGAAGGCUCAGACAGCCAGGAUGUUGGCUUAGAAGCAGCCAUCAUUUAAAGAAAGCGUAAUAGCUCACUGGUCGAGUCGGCCUGCGCGGAAGAUGUAACGGGGCUAAGUAGUAAACCGAAGCUGCGGCAAUAUACUUUUGUAUAUUGGGUAGGGGAGCGUUCUGUAAGCGGUUGAAGGUGUGUGGUAACGCAUGCUGGACGUAUCAGAAGUGCGAAUGCUGACAUGAGUAACGAUAAAGGGGGUGAAAAACCUCCUCGCCGGAAGACCAAGGGUUCCUGUCCAACGUUAAUCGGGGCAGGGUAAGUCGACCCCUAAGGCGAGGCCGAAAGGCGUAGUCGAUGGGAAACGGGUUAAUAUUCCCGUACUUCUUACAAUUGCGAUGGGGGGACGGAGAAGGCUAGGUGGGCCUGGCGACGGUUGUCCAGGUUCAAGUGCGUAGGCUUAAGAGUUAGGUAAAUCCGGCUCUUUCUAAGGCUGAGACACGACGUCGAGCACCUACGGGUGUGAAGUCAUUGAUGCCAUGCUUCCAGGAAAAGCCUCUAAGCUUCAGAUUGUAAGGAAUCGUACCCCAAACCGACACAGGUGGUCGGGUAGAGAAUACCAAGGCGCUUGA